rnacentral:misc_RNA from 1 species
GAUGAAGAACGCAGCGAAAUGCGAUAAGUAAUGUGAAUUGCAGAAUUCAGUGAAUCAUCGAAUCUUUGAACGCACCUUGCGCCCUUUGGCUAUUCCGAAGGGCAUGCCUGUUUGAGUAUCGUGAACACCUCAACUCUCAUGGUUUGUCAUGAUGAGCUUGGACUUUGGGGGUUUUGCUGGCCUUUGGUCGGCUCCUCUCAAACGGAUCAGCUUUCCAGUGUUUGGUGGCGUCACGGGUGUGAUAACUAUCUACGCCUGUGGUUUUCUGCCAGAUAACCUUCAGCGAUGGAGGUUCGCUGGGGCUCAUAAAUGUCUCUCUUCAGUGGAGACAGCUUUUUGGACGUUUGUUCUCAAAUCAGGUAGGACUACCCGCUGAACUUAAGCAUAUCAAUAAGCGGAGGA